rnacentral:rRNA from 1 species
UACGUAGGGCGCAAGCGUUAUCCGGAAUUAUUGGGUCGUAAAGAGCUCGUAGGCGGUUUGUCGCGUCUGCCGUGAAAGUCCGGGGCUCAACUCCGGAUCUGCGGUGGGUACGGGCAGACUAGAGUGAUGUAGGGGAGACUGGAAUUCCUGGUGUAGCGGUGGAAUGCGCAGAUAUCAGGAGGAACACCGAUGGCGAAGGCAGGUCUCUGGGCCAUUACUGACACUGAGAAGCGAAAGCAUGGGGAGCGAACAGG